rnacentral:rRNA from 1 species
AACGUAGGACGCAAGCGUUAUCCGGAGUUACUGGGCGUAAAGGGCGUGUAGGCGGCUGUUCAAGUGGCUCGUGAAAGAUCCCGGCUCAACCGGGAAGGGUCGGGUCAGACUGAACGGCUAGAGGAUGUCAGAGGGACACGGAAUUCCGGGUGUAGUGGUGAAAUGCGUAGAGAUCCGGAGGAACACCAGUGGCGCAGGCGGUGUCCUGGGGCGUACCUGACGCUGAGACGCGAAAGCAUGGGGAGCGAACGGG